AUUGAACGCUGGCGGCAGGCCUAACACAUGCAAGUCGAACGGUAACAGGAAGCAGCUUGCUGCUUUGCUGACGAGUGGCGGACGGGUGAGUAAUGUCUGGGAAACUGCCCGAUGGAGGGGGAUAACUACUGGAAACGGUAGCUAAUACCGCAUAACGUCGCAAGACCAAAGAGGGGGACCUUAGGGCCUCUUGCCAUCGGAUGUGCCCAGAUGGGAUUAGCUAGUAGGUGGGGUAACGGCUCACCUAGGCGACGAUCCCUAGCUGGUCUGAGAGGAUGACCAGCCACACUGGAACUGAGACACGGUCCAGACUCCUACGGGAGGCAGCAGUGGGGAAUAUUGCACAAUGGCGCAAGCCUGAUGCAGCCAUGCCGCGUGUAUGAAGAAGGCCUUCGGGUUGUAAAGUACUUUCAGCGGGGAGGAAGGGAGUAAAGUUAAUACCUUUGCUCAUUGACGUUACCCGCAGAAGAAGCACCGGCUAACUCCGUG
rnacentral:rRNA from 1 species